rnacentral:rRNA from 1 species
UACGGGAGGCAGCAGUGGGGAAUAUUGCACAAUGGGCGCAAGCCUGAUGCAGCCAUGCCGCGUGUAUGAAGAAGGCCUUCGGGUUGUAAAGUACUUUCAGCGGGGAGGAAGGGAGUAAAGUUAAUACCUUUGCUCAUUGACGUUACCCGCAGAAGAAGCACCGGCUAACUCCGUGCCAGCAGCCGCGGUAAUACGGAGGGUGCAGCGUUAAUCGGAAUUACUGGGCGUAAAGCGCACGCAGGCGGUUUGUUAAGUCAGAUGUGAAAUCCCCGGGCUCAACCUGGGAACUGCAUCUGAUACUGGCAAGCUUGAGUCUCGUAGAGGGGGUAGAAUUCCAGGUGUAGCGGUGAAAUGCGUAGAGAUCUGGAGGAAUACCGGUGGCGAAGGCGGCCCCGUGGACGAGCUGACGCUCAGGGUGCGAAAGCGUGGGGAGCAAACAGGAUUAGAUAACC